GCCUUCGUAGCGUAGUGAUCAGCACGCUCGACGAGUAAUCGAGAGGUCUGUGGUUCAAUUCCCGGCGGAGGCA
rnacentral:tRNA from 1 species